rnacentral:rRNA from 1 species
CUUUUGAUGGCGACCGGCGCACGGGUGAGUAACACGUAUCCAACCUGCCUCAUACUCGGGGAUAGCCUUUCGAAAGAAAGAUUAAUACCCGAUGUUAUAGUCCUACCGCAUGAUGGGAUUAUUAAAGAAUUUCGGUAUGGGAUGGGGAUGCGUUCCAUUAGUUAGUUGGCGGGGUAACGGCCCACCAAGACAACGAUGGAUAGGGGUUCUGAGAGGAAGGUCCCCCACAUUGGAACUGAGACACGGUCCAAACUCCUACGGAAGGCAGCAG